AUAACAACAUACGAAUUCAUCAAAAAAUGAGAGCGGUUUUCAAAUUAUCCUUCACAAGGAAUGUGUCUACACAUGGAGUAAAAAAUGGGUGAUGAAAAACAGCUUCUCUCGGGAGUGAUGCGUUCAAGUCUUUUAAUUCGCGCGAACGAAAAAAUAUAUUUAAAAAUUUUUUUCUAUUGUAAUUUUAGAAUUCGCUUUUCUUUCGGGAGUGUUCAAAAUUUUUAAAAUCGCGAUCGCUUUAAUAUUUUAAUAGAAAAAGUGUAUAUUUUUAUUUUUUAAUAUCAAAAAUACAUGAUUUCGGGAGUGUUCGAAUUUUUUUAACUCAUCAUCUGAAAUGGAUUCGCAUCGAUUAUAGAGGCUAAGGCUUAACGUGAUUUCGGAAAGGAGAGUGGUUAUAUUAUAUACCAUGGGUAUAGUGGCACCUCAAGCUACGACAGAUCUCGAAAACAGAAAAAUGGUGAAAAAAAAGGAGGCGCAUAUAUAGAGAUAAUGGUGCAAAUGGGCACAACGUCUAUCACCUCUGACUAGUCGAUGAAGAAGAAAAUACCAAAGAACGACGGUCAAUCGACAAUCGUUUCAACGAAGGAAAUAAAAGUCAAUUCUUCAAGUGCUAUAUAAAUGAGAGAAGUCACAACGAGAAUGAGAG